GGUUGUGGCUCAGCAGUAGAGCGCUUGCCUAGCAUGCAUGAGGCACUGGGUUCGAUUCUCAGCACCA
rnacentral:tRNA from 1 species